rnacentral:rRNA from 1 species
UUUUAAUUGAAGAGUUUGAUCAUGGCUCAGAUUGAACGCUGGCGGCAGGCUUAACACAUGCAAGUCGAGCGGUAGCACAGGGGAGCUUGCUCCCUGGGUGACGAGCGGCGGACGGGUGAGUAAUGUCUGGGAAACUGCCUGAUGGAGGGGGAUAACUACUGGAAACGGUAGCUAAUACCGCAUAACGUCGCAAGACCAAAGAGGGGGACCUUCGGGCCUCUUGCCAUCAGAUGUGCCCAGAUGGGAUUAGCUAGUAGGUGGGGUAAUGGCUCACCUAGGCGACGAUCCCUAGCUGGUCUGAGAGGAUGACCAGCCACACUGGAACUGAGACACGGUCCAGACUCCUACGGGAGGCAGCAGUGGGGAAUAUUGCACAAUGGGCGCAAGCCUGAUGCAGCCAUGCCGCGUGUGUGAAGAAGGCCUUCGGGUUGUAAAGCACUUUCAGCGAGGAGGAAGGUGGUGAGCUUAAUACGUUCAUCAAUUGACGUUACUCGCAGAAGAAGCACCGGCUAACUCCGUGCCAGCAGCCGCGGUAAUACGGAGGGUGCAAGCGUUAAUCGGAAUUACUGGGCGUAAAGCGCACGCAGGCGGUUUGUUAAGUCAGAUGUGAAAUCCCCGGGCUCAACCUGGGAACUGCAUUUGAAACUGGCAAGCUAGAGUCUCGUAGAGGGGGGUAGAAUUCCAGGUGUAGCGGUGAAAUGCGUAGAGAUCUGGAGGAAUACCGGUGGCGAAGGCGGCCCCCUGGACGAAGACUGACGCUCAGGUGCGAAAGCGUGGGGAGCAAACAGGAUUAGAUACCCUGGUAGUCCACGCUGUAAACGAUGUCGAUUUGGAGGUUGUGCCCUUGAGGCGUGGCUUCCGGAGCUAACGCGUUAAAUCGACCGCCUGGGGAGUACGGCCGCAAGGUUAAAACUCAAAUGAAUUGACGGGGGCCCGCACAAGCGGUGGAGCAUGUGGUUUAAUUCGAUGCAACGCGAAGAACCUUACCUACUCUUGACAUCCAGAGAACUUUCCAGAGAUGGAUUGGUGCCUUCGGGAACUCUGAGACAGGUGCUGCAUGGCUGUCGUCAGCUCGUGUUGUGAAAUGUUGGGUUAAGUCCCGCAACGAGCGCAACCCUUAUCCUUUGUUGCCAGCGGUUCGGCCGGGAACUCAAAGGAGACUGCCAGUGAUAAACUGGAGGAAGGUGGGGAUGACGUCAAGUCAUCAUGGCCCUUACGAGUAGGGCUACACACGUGCUACAAUGGCAUAUACAAAGAGAAGCGACCUCGCGAGAGCAAGCGGACCUCAUAAAGUAUGUCGUAGUCCGGAUUGGAGUCUGCAACUCGACUCCAUGAAGUCGGAAUCGCUAGUAAUCGUAGAUCAGAAUGCUACGGUGAAUACGUUCCCGGGCCUUGUACACACCGCCCGUCACACCAUGGGAGUGGGUUGCAAAAGAAGUAGGUAGCUUAACCUUCGGGAGGGCGCUUACCACUUUGUGAUUCAUGACUGGGGUGAAGUCGUAACAAGGUAACCGUAGGGGAACCUGCGGUUGGAUCACCUCCUUACC